rnacentral:rRNA from 1 species
AGAUAAUAGAUACCUGGUAGUCCACGCCCUAAACGAUGUCAACUGGUUGUUGGUCCUUCACUGGAUCAGUAAACGAAAGCUAAACGCGUGAAGUUGACCGCCUGGGGAGUACGGCCGCAAGGUUGAAACCCAAAGGAAUUGACGGGGACCCGCACAAGCGGUGGAUGAUGUGGUUUAAUUCGAUGCAACGCGAAAAACCUUACCCACCUUUGACAUGUCUGGAAUUCCGCAGAGAUGUGGAAGUGCCCGAAAGGGAGCCAGAACACAGGUGCUGCAUGGCUGUCGUCAGCUCGUGUCGUGAGAUGUUGGGUUAAGUCCCGCAACGAGCGCAACCCUUGUCAUUAGUUGCUACGAAAGGGCACUCUAAUGAGACUGCCGGUGACAAACCGGAGGAAGGUGGGGAUGACGUCAAGUCCUCAUGGCCCUUAUAGGUGGGGCUACACACGUCAUACAAUGGCCGGUACAAAGGGCUGCCAACCCGCGAGGGGGAGCUAAUCCCAUAAAACCGGUCGUAGUCCGGAUCGCAGUCUGCAACUCGACUGCGU